GGGGCGGUAGCUCAGUCGGUGAGAGCCGUGGACUCAUCAUCGGUUUGGUCGCGGGUUCAGGCCCGUCCGCCCCACCG
rnacentral:tRNA from 1 species